rnacentral:tRNA from 1 species
GCUUCUGUUACUAAAUGGAUACAGCAUUGGCCUUCGGAACCAAAGACUGUGGUUUCUGAUCCCAUCAGGGGUA